AUGAACGCUGGCGGCGUGCCUAACACAUGCAAGUCGAACGAGAAAGCCUUUCGGGGUUAGUACAGUGGCGGACGGGUGAGUAACGCGUGGGAAUCUGCCCUUCAGUGAAGAAUACCUCCGAGAAAUCGGAGUCAAUACUGCAUACUCCAGAGAUGGAAAAGGUGGCCUCUUUGCUACCGCUUAAGGAUGAGCCCGCGUACUAUUAGCUAGUUGGUAGGGUAAAGGCCUACCAAGGCGAUGAUGGUUAGCCGGCCUGAGAGGGUGAUCGGCCACACUGGAACUUAGAUACGGUCCAGACUCCUACGGGAGGCAGCAGUGAGGAAUAUUGCUCAAUGGGCGCAAGCCUGAAGCAGCGACGCCGCGUGGAGGAUGAAGGUCUUAGGAUUGUAAACUUCUGUUGAGUGGGAACAAAGAAUUGUCGCUAAUAUCGACAAGAGAUGCGGGUACCACUAAAGAAAGCACCGGCUAAACUCGU
rnacentral:rRNA from 1 species